CGAAAGAUUGAUUCAGUUACUUAUUAGGAUGAUAUAUAAUUAUUUAUUUAUUUAUUUAUUUAUAUAUAAAAAAUAUAUAUAUAUAAAUUGAUUAAAAAUAAAAUCCAUAAAUAAUAAAAAUAAUGAUAUUAAUUACCAUUAAUUAAUAAUAAUGGAUAUAAUUAUAUAAUUUAUUUAUAUAAUUAUAUUUUAAUAGUCCUAACAAAUAUUUGUGCCAGCAGCUGCGGUAAUACAAAGGGGGCUAGCGUUAAUCAUAAUGGCUUAAAGGGUCCGUAGAAUAAUAUAUUUAUUUAUUUAUAUAUUAGAGUUAAUAAAUUUAAUUAAAGAAUUAUAAUAGUAAAGAUGAAAUAAUUAUAAUAAUUAUAAGACUGGUAUAUGUGAAAAUAUUAAUUAAAUAUUAACUGACAUUGAUGGACGAAAGCUAGAGUAGCAAUACGGAUUCGAUACCCGAGUAGUUCUAGCUGUAAACUAUGAACACCAUAAUUUAUUAAAUAAAUAAAUUAUAAAUGAAAAUGUAAGUGUUCCGCCUGAAGAGUACGUUCGCAAGAAUGAAACUCAAGACAAUAGACGGUUACAGACUUAAGCAGUGGAGCAU
rnacentral:rRNA from 1 species